UCGGCGAGUCAGCGAGCACCGGCUGGAACCCUAGCCAUUCUUUCUCCCGCACGUCUCUCUCAAGCCUCCGCCGCCACCAGCCAUCCUCCCCGUCCCGCCUCUUCUCCUCCCCAUCGCCCCCUCCCCCCGUCGGUCGUCCUGCUGCAUCUCCUGAAGGGGCGCCGCGGCCGGUGGCGCCGCUGCUCCCCCGUCGAGCUUGAGCGUCCCCAUCACAAGGAGGAGAGGAGGUUGCCGCUAGCGUUGCUGCUCGGCCAUCUCUUCCCCACCACGUUGAUCCGACGCACCACUCCUCCGCGGGCGGCCACGUCUAACCCUAUCGCCACGGUCGCCGGUGCACGGCGGGCGGCUACGGCUAACCCUAGCGCCAUAGUCGCCGGUGCACGGCGUCGCCCAUGGACGACGGCGCUGCGCCUGCACCUGCGGUUGGUCCUCCCCGAGACUGGUUCUUGCCAGAUCUGCUGUUGUGCUCAUUGAUUUGCAGCCUCGUCCGCUCCUGUCUGUGCAUAUUUUGAUCCGAGCCGGUUGCAUCUUAGUUCACGGAUCUUUGGGUCAUCUGCAGGCCUUACCUUGAGCUCUCUGGAAUGAUUGUUGUAGGUGCGCUCUCAUCUUCGCGCCAUUGUCCACCUCUCCCCUGAGCUCGGCUCAAUUCCGUGGCUGGGGUCUGCUCUGUGUGCGACAACAUCUAUCCCAAAAGAGUAGGAGUCCUUGGACAGAGUUGGACUUUCUUGUCGGCAAGCUUGCCAAUUCCAUCUUGUUCGUAGAAAACAUGGUAAGAGUAUGGAUGGAUUUAUGCAAAUUCAUGUCAUUGAUGCGGGAUCACGCCGGCCCUCCCUUGUGCUAGCCAGCCAACAGGAAGCUCCUGGUGGUGCUCCUGGAUGUGCUAUACAUCACCUCAUCCUCUCCUUGGCCGCUUCGGUGCUCGUGGCAUUCGCGCUCAUCGGUGGGACGGUGCAAGGUGCAACUCCGAUGCAGCGACGUGGAUGUGCGAUGUAGGAAGCGGUUCCUCGCCGGCUGGACGGCGUUCAGGCGCAACCCCGUCGCCCACUGAGUACUGCCUCGGCUAUAACCUCCCUCGUGAGCUUCAUCUUCCUCCUGCUCUGCUUCGGCUACUGCAUGGGACAUGGCCAGGGCUACAAUGAUCAGUUAUGGCUGAUAUAGGCAUGCUCUCGAGCAAUCGAGGCACUUGUGGGUAUUAAUUUGGAUCCCCCCUCAUUUCUUUGAGCCAUUUUGAUCACGUUCUUAUUUUAGUGGCUCUGUCCUUGGAUGGUCAUUUCUGAUGAGUGAUAACCAGGGCAGUUUCACCCUCAUAAGAACAUCGAGAAAUAAGGGAUUCAGUCACUCCCGCGCCUCCUCAGAGCUCAGCGGAUUCUGGCCGUCUGAUCCAUUUUCCCGAUGCAUUUUUGUCCGUUAGAUCGAUGUGGUGAAUGAUCUCGGCCGUAGGAUCGAGCCCGAGCUCCUGUAGCAAUGAAUAGUUACUCCCGCGGUGAGAUAUCUCGUGACGCCGCGUUCGAAUCACGUGCCCCAUCGGUCGGAAGCCAUUCUUGCUAGGGCGAUGAUGAUUAGCGUGCCUUUGAGCAAUUGAGGCACCUGUGGGUAUCAAGUUGGAUCCUCCCUCUUGUCUCUAGAAUCCUUUUUGAUCAUGUGAUACUUAUUGUUCUGUCCUUGGAUGGUCAUUCUUGUUGAAUGAUAACCAGGCAGAUCCACUGUAUAAGCAGAUUGAUCUGGUGAAAGAGAUGAUGGGGCUAGAUUAUAUGACCGAGGAAAGGCGAAUGUGAGCCCACUAUGCAUUCAACCCUGAACCCUUUUUAUUUGUAUUUAAAAGUGUUGCUUAUUUAUGCUCCGGUGUUUAUAGCCGUCUUAUGUAAGUAUUUCUUCUCUCUCAUUCCUUUGAUCUUUUAUUGUUUGUUGUUGGUCCUUGAUCUAAUCUGGUUAAGAGUAAGUUGCACUUUGUUAUUCUGGGAUAAGCGAUGGUUCGGCAAUGCUAUUGGUUCUUCAUGAUGAGUUCAAUGGAGGAUUUUUGAUAUUAUUUUAUUGUUAACGAGUCAUGCGAGUAAGCUUUCUUGCAGGUACCCACACUUCUCUCUCCCUCCUGAUUAGCCUGAUCUCUUUUCUAUACGUGUCUAAAAGUUGUCUGUCUACAAGCUUUUUGUUUAGCUUAACAGAGAAAGACUAAAAUACAUUUUGUUUCUAUCACAAGAAUGGAUGCAAGUGUCUUGUGCAUUGGAUUCCAAGGGGAAGUCACAUCCAGAAAAAGAAACAACAAUCAAUUGUAUGGUUGUGCAAAAAGUCAAUAACAAAGAAACAAAGUAUGCUAAUGUUUGCUCUGAUUUAUAUGAUGACAUUUCUUCUUGAAACUUACCACUUUGUAAUGUUUUGGACAAGCUUUUACCCAAGUGCAGUAUUUGGUUUACUGUUUGCCUCAGUGUACCCAACUUUUCUGGUAGACCAAAUGCCUAGCAACACCAUGUAAUAUAGGAAGGAAAGAAAAGUUAGUAUACACAUAAUGUUGGCAUUUUUCAUAUGGUGAAGUUCUGAUUUUGUACUUAAUCUCAAACAUUAGUGCUAUGUUUUACUUUGUUGGUAACCUGUCAAUUUGUAAGCAUCCUGCCCUUCUCAUUUUCAGUGGAACUUAAUAAUAUCAUCUCUCAUUAAUUUUGUCCCUCGUUAUUUUAUAUCAUAUGAAAGUUGUUUACACAUCGGUAUCUUUUUGCAGAAAGGACUGCAUACAUUGGACACUUGACUGGAGGUUUAAUUCAUUUGAUAUUGUCUUCACUAACUCUGACGGUUCAAUUCCACUUUGAUGCUUGAAUGUCUCGAAAAGAAGGUAAAGAUGGAUAUAUGCACCCUGUUGAAGUUACAAUUGUUUUUUCUUACUUCUAUAGUUUUAUUCAGUUUCUAAAGGCCUUUCAAGCUUUCUAUUCUUAUGGAUAUCUACAUUUCCGUACAUUUUCUCAAGUUUUGGAUUUGGAGUGACCAGUAUGAUUGGGUUCUCCAUUAGACAUUAUCUACAGUCUCCCCGACAUUUCUUAUUUCAUAUGCAAGCAGCUAACUGAUGUAACAUGAUUAUGUUUUGGGUGUAGUUCUACUUUUUCAAGGAUGUAUUUCGUAGCUAUAAUGUUUUUUUAAGUAUCACAUUUUAUGGAUGAUUGUACCUAUAAUGUUGUUCAUAUAAGAUACAGGGCAAAGUAUUUGUGCAACCUCUGUCCCUGCCCAACGUGUUGUGCGUUGUAGGAGGAGCAAGCGGACCCCGGUCUGGCAUCAAGCCGAGCCAUGUCCAGGUUGGAGCGGUGAUGGCAGCUGCAGCGGGACAGACGGCGCCGGCAACAAGCACAGUUCCUCAUCUUUGUCUCCGACGAAAAAGAUCAUCCGGUGACAAAACACCUCCUCCUUCUCUUCUCUGUGUGUGCUCCUCCCAUUGAUGAUAAAUAGAUAGAAGUUGUUUCAGGACAGGGUAUCUUGCUGGGAAACAGACUACGUAGUCUGUACUGUAUGUGCCAUUAAAACUGUUUAUUGUUAUUGCAACUGAAGCUGCAUAAAAGGGCUUUCGGUUGUUUAUACAUUACUCAGCCUCC